AACUGAUACUACCUGCGGGAACCUGCGGAGGGAUCAUUACCGAGUGCGGGCCCGCUGGGUCCAACCUCCCACCCGUGUUUAUCGUACCUUGUUGCUUCGGCGGGCCCGCCGUCAUGGCCGCCGGGGGGCAUCCGCCCCCAGGCCCGCGCCCGCCGAAGACACCCGUGAACGCUGUCUGAAGAAUGCAGUCUGAGCAGAUUAGCUAAAUCGGUUAAAACUUUUAACAAUGGAUCUCUAGAU
rnacentral:misc_RNA from 1 species